AGAUAUGUAUGGUUUCACAGAAUCCAAAGUUAAAUGGAGACCUCUUCUUCAACCUAGGUUGUUUUUCAAAAACGACUUGUCAGUACUUCAAUAUUGCCCACGGUGUUGGACGUCGUAUCUUAGUGAGUUCACCUUCCUCAAUAACAAAGUGCUGCGAUACAGAUAAUUGUAACAAGGAUCUGUUAUGUCCUGGCGUGAUUUGUGG